CAAUUGGUAUGAGAGAUAGUCACCGAACAGUGCGAGACACUGAUCUGAGUAGGGUUAAACCCUCUCCAUAAUAGACGUGUUUUAUAACCGUAAGGCUGACGGUGAUACGAGACGGACUAAAACAAACAAUAUUUACUAACAGUGGGCUUGGAUUGUUACAAGAAGUAAGAGUGAGUUCUGAUCUUUUCAGGAUAUCUCUAUACAUGA